GGGUUGUGAGGUUAAGCGACUAAGCGUACACGGUGGAUGCCCUGGCAGUCAGAGGCGAUGAAGGGCGUGCUAAUCUGCGAUAAGCGCCGGUAAGGUGAUAUGAACCGUUAUAACCGGCGAUACCCGAAUGGGGAAACCCAGUGUGAUUCGUCACACUAUCAUUAACUGAAUCCAUAGGUUAAUGAGGCGAACCGGGGGAACUGAAACAUCUAAGUACCCCGAGGAAAAGAAAUCAACCGAGAUUCCCCCAGUAGCGGCGAGCGAACGGGGAGGAGCCCAGAGCCUGAAUCAGCAUGUGUGUUAGUGGAAGCGUCUGGAAAGGCGCGCGAUACAGGGUGACAGCCCCGUACACAAAAGCGUAUGUGCUGUGAGCUCGAUGAGUAGGGCGGGACACGUGGUAUCCUGUCUGAAUAUGGGGGGACCAUCCUCCAAGGCUAAAUACUCCUGACUGACCGAUAGUGAACCAGUACCGUGAGGGAAAGGCGAAAAGAACCCCGGCGAGGGGAGUGAAAAAGAACCUGAAACCGUGUACGUACAAGCAGUGGGAGCACCCUUUGGGGUGUGACUGCGUACCUUUUGUAUAAUGGGUCAGCGACUUAUAUUCUGUAGCAAGGUUAACCGAAUAGG
rnacentral:rRNA from 1 species